UACGUAGGUGGCAAACGUUGUCCGGAUUCACUGGGCGUAAAGCGCGCGCAGGCGGAUUGGUCAGUCUGGGGGGAAAUCUCUCGGCUCAACUGAGAGAGGUCCCUGGAUACUGCCAGUCUUGAGGGGCUCAGAGGAGAGUGGAAUUCCGCGUGUAGUGGUGGAAUGCGUAGAUACGCGGAGGAACACCAGUGGCGAAAGCGGCUCUCUGGGGCCACCUGACGCUGAGGCGCGAAAGCGUGGGGAGCGAACCGG
rnacentral:rRNA from 1 species